AGUGAACGCUGGCGGUAGGCCUAACACAUGCAAGUCGAACGGCAGCACAGUAAGAGCUUGCUCUUACGGGUGGCGAGUGGCGGACGGGUGAGGAAUACAUCGGAAUCUACUUUUUCGUGGGGGAUAACGUAGGGAAACUUACGCUAAUACCGCAUACGACCUACGGGUGAAAGCGGGGGAUCUUCGGACCUUGCGCGAUUGAAUGAGCCGAUGUCGGAUUAGCUAGUUGGCGGGGUAAAGGCCCACCAAGGCGACGAUCCGUAGCUGGUCUGAGAGGAUGAUAGGCCACAUGGGAACUGAGACAGGGUCCAGACGCCUAAGGGAGGCAGCAGUGGGGAAUAGUGGACAAUGGGCGCAAGCAUGAUCCAGCCAGACCGCGUGGGUGAAGAAGGCGUUCGGGUUGGAAAGACGUUUUGUUGGGAAAGAAAAGCAGCAGGUUAAUACCCCGCGGGUCUGACGGUACCCAAAGAAUAAGCACCGGCUAACUUCGUG
rnacentral:rRNA from 1 species